UACGUAGGGUGCAAGCGUUGUCCGGAAUCACUGGGCGUAAAGGGCGCGUAGGCGGCUCGGUAAGUAGGGGGUGAAAUCCUGCGGCUUAACCGCAGGGCUGCCUUCUAAACUGUCGAGCUCGAGCACGGUAGAGGCAGAUGGAAUUCCCGGUGUAGCGGUGGAAUGCGUAGAGAUCGGGAAGAACAUCAGUGGCGAAGGCGGUCUGCUGGGCCGUUGCUGACGCUGAGGCGCGACAGCGUGGGGAGCA
rnacentral:rRNA from 1 species